GGUUUGCACGCUGCUUGUGAACAUUUACUGAAAGUUUGUAUUGCAGCAGGUGGCAAAAUACAACAUGUGAUAUUGUUCCUGUCUUCUGUCAGAAUGGAUUAUGAGUAACCAGAAAAUUUGGGCAUUUGGAUUUGAAAAGAAGUUAUCUGCUGAAAUUCAAAGACAAAUUUCCAUAUGUUACAAAAUUGAAAUCAAAAUUCCAUAAGGCACUCGCUCCAUCCCUCCAGCCAUCAUCCCAAAAGCAAAGGGGUUCAGUUUGUUCAGGUGGAGCUCGCUUUCUCCACCCCCAGUGCCAGCAAAUCUGUUUGGUGUGGGAGGACGGUGGAGCGUGCCGCCCACAGCCACCUGCUCUGCCGGAGGGCCCGCAGCCUUGCCAGCACUGUGCCAAGGCACCAGCUCGGGGUGGGAGUCUGCAGGAGGCACGGAUCAGCUGGGAGGUGUGCUGCUCUGCUUCUCCCUUGCUUGCGGAUGACCUUUGCUGAUAAAGAUUAGCCAGAGGCUUUUG
rnacentral:lncRNA from 1 species